GAAGAAUUAGGGAAGGACGUCGCACAUAAACAGAAGAAGGGAUGCCCACUUCUUAGUGCACUUAUUGCUAUUCUGCUGAGCAGAAUGAUUUAGAAGUGCCUUCACCCGUUCAUAACCCAUGCCUGAUAUUUAUAGAGCGAGUCUCAGACAGCUGUGUGCUAUGGCAGUCCCGUUCAGAAUCCCCAAAAAGAAGCAGCCGUCAGAUUCAUGUCUUGACAUGCAGUCUCCACUGUCUCGACUGCAGGACAGCAACUCACACAAGGUAAUAAUGCCUUCCUCUGCACUAAUGUCCACAUAAUCAGCCAAUAAAAAUGUGUUGUCCAUUUACAGUCUCAUUUCAGUUUUUUUAUGUAAAGCAACUCUUUUAGUUCAAAUAGUUCUUGUCUCACAGAGGCAGUGGGGUUCAGUAACUCUUAAUGGAAGAACGCCUCAUAAAAGCAGUCCUAAUGGAAAUGUGCUGCCAAAAGACACUCAGAGGAGUGAAACGGUGAGGUAAGACUUCAGUAUACCAUGCUUUGGAUACUGAUCAGUUUUAAAAUGAACAAACAACCGAUAAAAAUCUGCCCUGUUCAGGGGAACAGGACACCCAAUAAGGUGUCCGAGACGCCUGGUUUCAGAGCCCAGUGUCAAACUCCCACCGCAGGGAGAGACUUCACAGGAAACAACAGGUGAGAAUCUGAACCAUGGUAUGGUGGUUUGUGCCUGUGGUCUAGAGCAGGAGAUUUCACUAUGAUCUAGUGGGUUUUAUACCAUAUAUGUUUAUUUGUUUCAGAUGGAGACCCAAAAGAGCAUCGGAUACUCUUCUCUGCCAUGAUGAGAACCAUACGGGCGCGUCUGAAAGCUCUUCUUUCAAGAUCCGUAGAGGCCUGGAUCCGGGAGAACUGGAGACAUGUGGGCUUUUCCAUGAGAAAGAAGAAACAGAAGGGACACAAGGUCACUCUCAGGUGAAAGAGGCACAGAGGUCAUCCACUUCAGAGGACACGGCACACGUUUCACAGGAAGACCGCAAAUUAAAGUCCACAGGUUCUGUUGGUGAUGUCUCUAAGAACACUGCAAGCAAAAACAAGAAUGGAACUGUAUUGAAUGAACAAUCUGUUUCCAAACUGUCCAAUCAUGAGCCCAGUCUCCGCUCAGGACGCUCUCUUCAGGAAGCUCCAGCUAGGCAUCUGAGGACCUCUGGAGAAAGAGCUGCCACCUCUGUGCCUGUUAGAAAAGACCCACUCACUUCACCCCCAGAGGCCAAGAGCAAAGACCCUUUUGGGUCAUUUUACAGCAAUAGAUUGAGGAGGAAGCCCCCGGUUUUCUACAAAACCUACAAGAGAUCCAAGCCUAGCUCCACAGAGCCAAUCGUGCUGUCCAGCGAUGAUGAAGGAGCCGAUGAGAUGAAUGAAGUAUCUGGGAGUUUGCAAGAGCAGCGGAUAUCUGAGGGGGUCGGGAACGCUCAGUCAGGGAACCAAAAGAGCCCAAAGACAAAUGCAGGAGGUGAAAGAUCAGCGACCAAAGUAGAUGUGCCUUCCAUCAUAGAACUGGACUUCAGCAGACUCCAUUACGACACAAUCGAGGCGCAGGCCAACGGGACCAUUGUGGUGAGAGAAACUUAUGCUGAAAAUGUGAUUUAUAGUUGUAUUAAAUUAUAAAAGUG
ensembl:lncRNA